rnacentral:rRNA from 1 species
AGGAUGAACGCUGGCGGUCUGCUUAACACAUGCAAGUCGAACGGAGUACCUCGGUACUUAGUGGCGGACGGGUGAGUAACGCGUGAGAAUCUGCCCUUAGGUCGGGGACAACCAUUGGAAACGAUGGCUAAUACCGGAUACGACCACUGAGGACAUCCUCCGGUGGUGGAAAGAAUUUCGGCCAAGGAUGGGCCCGCGGCCUAUCAGCUAGUUGGUGAGGUAAUGGCCCACCAAGGCGACGACGGGUAGCCGGCCUGAGAGGGCGACCGGCCACACUGGGACUGAGACACGGCCCAGACUCCUACGGGAGGCAGCAGUAGGGAAUAUUGCGCAAUGGGCGAAAGCCUGACGCAGCGACGCCGCGUGAGGGAUGAAGGCCUUCGGGUUGUAAACCUCUUUCAGCAGGGACGAAGCGCAAGUGACGGUACCUGCAGAAGAGCACGGCAACUACGCGCCAGCAGCCGC